AAAAACUAAGCUACAGUAUAAUAAAGAAUUGCCAGUACAUGUAUCUAACUGGUAUAUAAAGGUUGUUAUUGAUUUUUCGUAUGUUUAUCAGAUAUAUAAAUUAAUUAGUAAAAUGUUUAACAGAAUUUAUUGCCAAAGAUGAGCAGGGAUACAAGUAGUAGUUAAUGGUGCUUAUAGAUGUUAAAAUGCACUGAAAGUUUAAGAAUCAUUUUUUGUUUUUCACAUUUUUAACAGUGAAAUAAGAAUGAAAUGCACCAACAUGCACAGUCAUGAACAUUUGUACAAUUUCUGAUUUUCUGCUGAGCAGUAGCAUGACUGUGUGUAACAUUAUACUAUUACUCGUGUAAAUAUAGAAUUUAAUUGUAAUGCAGACAUACAAUAUAUGUAUUUGUUUAAAUGAACACAUGACAGCUUUCUAGAAUUUUAGAGACUUAAAGCCGGGAAUAAUCUGAAUACCGAGAUGCUUCGCGGUGGUUAUAGAUUCAAAUCUUCAAAAAACGCUGUAACUAGUACAAGCAGUAAAACAUGACUAAACAUUCAAAUGUGAAAUUAGAAGUGAUGACAAAAUUGAUUCCACACAAAAAGAAGCUCAAAAACAAAUCUACUAUGUUGAUAUUUAUCAUUUCCGCUGUCCAGAAUUUUUGUCUUGCAUGAGGACAGUAUAUGUGCAUGUGUAGCAUACUACAUGUAUAUGCUACAUGUAUAUUGAAUGUGCUAAUUAUUGUAUCUUCCAUUAGCGAUGACCCUCUUUUGUUAAGCUUUAUCACUAGUAGAUGCCCGUGAAUAUGGUAGAGAAGUAUGCUAGUGUAAAUGUUGUCUUGUUUUACAUUGUCAUAAACUGCCACAGAAAACAUCAAUAAAAACAAGUCUGUUUU
rnacentral:misc_RNA from 1 species